rnacentral:lncRNA from 1 species
CUGGGAGACUGUGUGGAACAUGCCUCGGAACUGUCACACCUAACAGAAAGGUUGAGAACAUAUUGGAAGCCCCAUUCCCAUCCAUGAUGUAGAGACUGGAAUCGCUUUUAAUGCUUUUAUCCUGGCACAAGAACCCCAGGAGACUCCUUCCUCAGUCCUAAAACAACCAGGACCUCGGAAGCCUGGACAUCACAGAGACUUCUGGCAGAGACAAAGAUGGCCUCCAGCUUGGUUGAGGUGGCAGCAAGGCAGUGAGAGUCCAUAGGGGUGCCCAAGGAGGGGCCUGGGGGAAAUCAAAAGCAGUCAUUUCUUCUGGGACUUGUCAGUUUUGCUUGGAGGGAUGGUUCCCUUUGGUUAUCCCCAAAUUUAGUGAAAAGGCAGAGACCAGUGCUAGCUGUGCCACGUAACUAAGGGAAGAGCUCUUCCGGGCUGGAGUU